UAAGGAAUAUUGCGCAAUGGGGGAAACCCUGACGCAGCAACGCCGCGUGGAGGAUGACACUUUUCGGAGCGUAAACUCCUUUUAUCAGGAAAGAAUAAUGACGGUACCUGAUGAAUAAGCACCGGCUAACUCCGUGCCAGCAGCCGCGGUAAUACGGGGGGUGCAAGCGUUACACGGAAUCACUGGGCGUAAAGGACGCGUAGGCGGAUUAUCAAGUCUUUUGUGAAAUCUAGUGGCUUAACCACUAAACUGCUUAGGAAACUGAUAGUCUAGAGUAGGGGAGAGGUAGAUGGAAUUCUUGGUGUAGGGGUAAAAUCCGUAGAGAUCAAGAAGAAUACCCAUUGCGAAAGCGAUCUGCUGGAACCUAACUGACGCUGAGGCGUGAAAGCGUGGGUAGCAAACAGG
rnacentral:rRNA from 1 species